GAUAGCUAUCUUGUGGUGGCCACGCCUUCAUAGUGAGUUGCUUUUCAAUCCUUUGAUGUCAGAUCUUAAUUUUGAAGCAGAAAUCAUGAAACACUGGAUUGUUCCCCACUAAUACAGGAUCUGAGUUGGAUUAAGACACGUGACAUGUU